rnacentral:rRNA from 1 species
AGAGUUUGAUCAUGGCUCAGGAUGAACGCUAGCGGGAGGCCUAACACAUGCAAGCCGAGCGGUAUUGUUUCUUCGGAAAUGAGAGAGCGGCGUACGGGUGCGGAACACGUGUGCAACCUGCCUUUAUCUGGGGGAUAGCCUUUCGAAAGGAAGAUUAAUACUCCAUAACAUAUUGAUUGGCAUCAAUUAAUAUUGAAAGCUCCGGCGGAUAGAGAUGGGCACGCGCAAGAUUAGCUAGUUGGUGAGGUAACGGCUCACCAAGGCGAUGAUCUUUAGGGGGCCUGAGAGGGUGAUCCCCCACACUGGUACUGAGACACGGACCAGACUCCUACGGGAGGCAGC